UAGGGAAUCUUCCGCAAUGGGCGAAAGCCUGACGGAGCAACGCCGCGUGAGUGAUGAAGGUCUUCGGAUCGUAAAACUCUGUUAUUAGGGAAGAACAAAUGUGUAAGUAACUAUGCACGUCUUGACGGUACCUAAUCAGAAAGCCACGGCUAACUACGUGCCAGCAGCCGCGGUAAUACGUAGGUGGCAAGCGUUAUCCGGAAUUAUUGGGCGUAAAGCGCGCGUAGGCGGUUUUUUAAGUCUGAUGUGAAAGCCCACGGCUCAACCGUGGAGGGUCAUUGGAAACUGGAAAACUUGAGUGCAGAAGAGGAAAGUGGAAUUCCAUGUGUAGCGGUGAAAUGCGCAGAGAUAUGGAGGAACACCAGUGGCGAAGGCGACUUUCUGGUCUGUAACUGACGCUGAUGUGCGAAAGCGUGGGGAUCAAACAGA
rnacentral:rRNA from 1 species